CUGUACCCUCAAGGAGCUUACAUGAAGUUAUGCACAACAAACAAUUGCUAACGCCCUAUAAAGUCAAAAUAUGACCGGUGUUUAAAGAUGAGUAAAAACUUCCUUAGGGACCAAACCAGCAAGUAGACUCAGCUUUGGGAGCCAUUACCCUGGUCCACCUUGAUGUGUCAGCACAACAGAGAGCAGCUUACUUCAUACCCAGCCCUGUAAUGCUUGAGUCACUCAAAUGGUGGUAAAGAGGCAAACUAGAUUGUUUCUAAUCGGUGUGGGAACUGAGGAAUGCAGAAUGGGAAGAAUACUGAGGCUACUUGGGGAUGCCUCUCCCAGUGCUCCUUCAGGAUGCUGCUUCCAUCUAUGUUAAGCCCUGGGUUAACUCUGCAGGGAGGCCCCCAGUC